UCGAACGCGAAAGCUCCGCAAGGGGCAAGUAGAGUGGCAAACGGGUGAGUAACGCGUGGGUGACCUGCCUUCGAGUGGGGGAUAACGUUCCGAAAGGGACGCUAAUACCGCAUGACAUCCUGCUUUUGAAGAGGUGGACAUCAAAGCCGGGGAUCGCAAGACCUGGCGCUCGAAGAGGGGCCCGCGUCCGAUUAGCUAGUUGGUGGGGUAAUGGCUCACCAAGGCAACGAUCGGUAGCCGGCCUGAGAGGGCGGACGGCCACACUGGGACUGAGACACGGCCCAGACUCCUACGGGAGGCAGCAGUGGGGAAUUGUUCGCAAUAGGCGCAAGCCUGACGACGCAACGCCGCGUGGAGGAUGAAGAUCUUCGGGUCGUAAACUCCUUUCGAUCGAGACGAACGGCCUCUGGAUGAACAAUCUGGGGGAGUGACGGUACCGAGAGAAGAAGCCCCGGCUAACUCCGUGCCAGCAGCCGCGGUAAUACGGGGGGGGCAAGCGUUGUUCGGAAUUACUGGGCGUAAAGGGCUCGUAGGCGGCCAACUCAGUCACACGUGAAAUCCCUCGGCUUAACCGGGGAACUGCGUGUGAUACUGGAUGGCUUGAGUUUGGGAGAGGGAUGCGGAAUUCCAGGUGUAGCGGUGAAAUGCGUAGAUAUCUGGAGGAACACCGGUGGCGAAGGCGGCAUCCUGGACCAACACUGACGCUGAGGAGCGAAAGCCAGGGGAGCAAACGGGAUUAGAUACCCCGGUAGUCCUGGCCCUAAACGAUGAAUGCUUGGUGUGGCGGGUAUCGAUCCCUGCCGUGCCGAAGCUAACGCAUUAAGCAUUCCGCCUGGGGAGUACGGUCGCA
rnacentral:rRNA from 1 species